rnacentral:rRNA from 1 species
UAAUAUUAAUUAAUAAUUUUGGUUUUGGAGUUAAAAUUAUUUGUUUUGAAUUUAAUUUUUUUGUUUUUAGGUAAAAUUUAAAUUUUAAUUAAUUUUUUUUUGAUUCUUUGAAGCAUAUAAUAUAGACUAGGAUUAGAUACCCUAUUAUAAUAUGUUUAAAUUUUUAACUUGGGUAGUAUUAGUUAUGUUCUUUAAACCUAAAGAAUUUGGCGGUGUUUUAGUCUAUUUAGAGGAAUUUGCUCUUUAAUCGAUAGUCCUCGUUUUAUCUUACUUAAUUUUGUUAAUCAG